rnacentral:rRNA from 1 species
GAUGAACGCUGACAGAAUGCUUAACACAUGCAAGUCGAUGGGGAAGUGGUGCUUGCACCCUGGCAACCAUGGCGGACGGGUGAGUAACGCGUAAGGGACUUACCUGCAGGACUGGGAUAACGGGGGGAAACUCCUGACAAGACCGGAUAAUGUCAUGGAGCUGCAUGGCUUUAUGAUGAAAGGAGACGCCUGCGGAGAGCCUUGCGUCCUAUUAGCUAGUUGGUGAGGUAAUGGCUCACCAAGGCGAAGAUAGGUAGCCGGCCUGAGAGGGUGGACGGCCACAAGGGGACUGAGAUACGGCCCUUACUCCUACGGGAGGCAGCAGUGGGGAAUAUUGGACAAUGGGGGCAACCCUGAUCCAGCAAUUCUGUGUGCACGAAGAAGGUUUUCGGAUUGUAAAGUGCUUUCAGCAGGGAAGAAGUAAGUGACGGUACCUGCAGAAGAAGCGACGGCUAAAUACGUG